rnacentral:lncRNA from 1 species
UGUGUACACAGGUUAUGAAACACUGUGUACACUAUUGAUCCCAAUUGUAUUUUGAAAUAAACAUAUGUAUGCAUAGAAAAAAAGAAGAGAAGACUAUACAUCAGAAUAUCAACUGGUUAUUUCUAGUGUUGGGAUCAAGGAUGAUUGCAGUUUUUCCUUUUUAUCUGUAUUUUUUUCUGCUAGUUUCUGUUUUACAAAAUUAUAAUAAAAUCUUUUUAAUGGUAGAAGUGAUGUGAUUGAGUAUUCAUUAAUAAGUUGCUUAUGCAUUGGAAUUAUAAGCAAGGCAAAAGAAGUGUAAUAAUGGAGUUUCUGCCCCCAAGGGACUUUUACUGUAGUCCGGAGAGAAGACCUACACAUAUGGAAAGUUUAUUAAUAAUAAUCAUUACUGAUAGCUAUUAAUUGUACCAUUAAGUGGCUAUUCAGAUUAUGAUAGUGAAUCUCUACAUUUUUAAUAAUGUUAAAUCUAUGUAAAUCUAUGUGAUAUACAUGUAUUAUUUCACUGAAUCCUCCCCACAGACACAUAGGGUACUUCAAUAUUCCCAUUUUACAGAUGGAAAAACUUAGGUUUAGAUGGUUUGGGAAAGUGGUGGAGCUAGGAUUGGCUCCAAAGUUCAUGUCUUUAACCACCAGUUAAUAUGACCUUCCAG